GGGGGUGACUUGGAUUCGACAGAGGUUGCGAAGCAGUGCAGGGCAUACCGAGGAUUCAGGUUACCUCGUAAAUCCAUCUGAACAAGUAUAGUCGCAAACGACGAAACUUACGCUUUAGCCGCUUAAUACCGGCUGAACGCUGCACCGAAGAGCUUCUCGGUCGGGCCAGGUAACUGGCAGCAGCGUCAUUAAGAGAAGAUCGUGGUGUGUUGGGUUACUUAAUACAUCAUUAAAUCUAAGGUGACUCGCUUUACUCUUGCUUGCUCGUUGGUGAGUGUACGGUUAAAUUAAACAACUCAGCUAAGUAUGUAGAACUGUCUGUAGAGUGCUUUUGGACGCGGGUUCGAAACCCGCCACCUCCACCA
rnacentral:tmRNA from 1 species